UUUCAAGCGAGUGGCGAACGGGUGAGUAACACGUGGAUAACCUGCCUCAAGGCUGGGGAUAACAUUUGGAAACAGAUGCUAAUACCGAAUAAAACUUAGUAUCGCAUGAUAUAAAGUUAAAAGGCGCUACGGCGUCACCUAGAGAUGGAUCCGCGGUGCAUUAGUUAGUUGGUGGGGUAAAGGCUUACCAAGACAAUGAUGCAUAGCCGAGUUGAGAGACUGAUCGGCCACAUUGGGACUGAGACACGGCCCAAACUCCUACGGGAGGCUGCAGUAGGGAAUCUUCCACAAUGGGCGCAAGCCUGAUGGAGCAACGCCGCGUGUGUGAUGAAGGCUUUCGGGUCGUAAAGCACUGUUGUAUGGGAAGAAAUGCUAAAAUAGGGAAUGAUUUUAGUUUGACGGUACCAUACCAGAAAGGGACGGCUAAAUACGUGCCAGCAGCCGCGGUAAUACGUAUGUCCCGAGCGUUAUCCGGAUUUAUUGGGCGUAAAGCGAGCGCAGACGGUUGAUUAAGUCUGAUGUGAAAGCCCGGAGCUCAACUCCGGAAUGGCAUUGGAAACUGGUUAACUUGAGUGUUGUAGAGGUAAGUGGAACUCCAUGUGUAGCGGUGGAAUGCGUAGAUAUAUGGAAGAACACCAGUGGCGAAGGCGGCUUACUGGACAACAACUGACGUUGAGGCUCGAAAGUGUGGGUAGCAAACAGGAUUAGAUACCCUGGUAGUCCACACCGUAAACGAUGAAUACUAGGUGUUAGGAGGUUUCCGCCUCUUAGUGCCGAAGCUAACGCAUUAAGUAUUCCGCCUGGGGAGUACGACCGCAAGGUUGAAACUCAAAGGAAUUGACGGGGACCCGCACAAGCGGUGGAGCAUGUGGUUUAAUUCGAAGCAACGCGAAGAACCUUACCAGGUCUUGACAUCCUUUGAAGCUUUUAGAGAUAGAAGUGUUCUCUUCGGAGACAAAGUGACAGGUGGUGCAUGGUCGUCGUCAGCUCGUGUCGUGAGAUGUUGGGUUAAGUCCCGCAACGAGCGCAACCCUUAUUGUUAGUUGCCAGCAUUCAGUUGGGCACUCUAGCGAGACUGCCGGUGACAAACCGGAGGAAGGCGGGGACGACGUCAGAUCAUCAUGCCCCUUAUGACCUGGGCUACACACGUGCUACAAUGGCGUAUACAACGAGUUGCCAACCUGCGAAGGUGAGCUAAUCUCUUAAAGUACGUCUCAGUUCGGACUGCAGUCUGCAACUCGACUGCACGAAGUCGGAAUCGCUAGUAAUCGCGGAUCAGCACGCCGCGGUGAAUACGUUCCCGGGUCUUGUACACACCGCCCGUCACACCAUGGGAGUUUGUAAUGCCCAAAGCCGGUGGCCUAACCUUCGGGAGGGAGCCGUCUAAGCAGACAGACAG
rnacentral:rRNA from 1 species